UCCAUUUACCUCCAAAGCGCUUCCGCAGACCAUCCUCUUCUCCACUCCAAAGUGUCUUCUCAUUUCUCAGCGUGUGCUCCUCUGACUGCUCUAAUGGCCGAGCUUGUGGGCAGCAUGGUGGUCGGGCCACUGCUGUCCCUGGUGAAGGAGAAGGCGUCCAGCUACCUCCUGGACCAGUACAAGGUCAUGGAGGGCAUGGAGGAGCAGCAUGAGAACCUCAAGGUCAUGCUGCCGGCCAUCCUGUAGAAUGCACAUGGAAAGCCAUGAUGAUAUUAUUUUGUAUUACGGCUUUCGAUGCAACCAUUAAAUUAAAGGUUUGUUUGGCUCACCCGUCACAUCGAAUAUUUGAUACUAAUUAGGAGUAUUAAACAUAGGCUAAUUACAAAACUAAUUGCACAGAUGGAGUCUAAUUCGCGAGACGAAUCUAUUAAACCUAAUUAGUUCAUGAUUUGAUAAUGUGGUGCUACAGUAACUAUUUGCUAAUGAUGGAUUAAUUAGGCUUAAUAGAUUCGUCUCGCGAAUUACACUCCAUCUGUGCAAUUAGUUUUUUAAUUAGCUCAUGCUUAGUCCUCCUAACUAGCAUCCGAACAUUCGAUGUGACACCGCUAAAGUUUAGCACAUAGUAUCUGUCGUUGUCAAGAUUGGCGGAUCAAGACUUAGACUAGUAAAUUUCUUUUAUGCGCGUAAGGCUUCAGAUGGUGGCGUAGGAGACACGGGUUUAGACUGGUUCGGGCAAGGGAAGCCCUACGUCCAGUAUCGAGGAUACUCGUAUUGCCCACGCGAGGUUCUGUAGUAGGGGUUACAGAUCGACGAGAGAGGGACUGGUCCCAAGUCUCUUUGUGCUUGUGCUCUCAGGGAGCGUCGUAGUGUGCUGCGGCUUGUGGGAGAAGAAGCCGAUCCCUUUCUCCGGCCCCUGGUGCUCCCUUUUAUACCGUAAGGGGGCGGCCGGAGUUACAGCUGAGACCGAGCGAUUGAGAGUAGUAAGAGUGUGAACGUAGUACGGUAAAAAAUACAGCAAGAAGGGAGGAACCAAGUCCCUAGGCGCCCGGCGCCUUCGCCGGCCCCUGACGAGCGCCGGCAUGCAUGCUGGAGGAGGGGGGCGGCCGUGUGCCAACUGUCGUCGCGCCCUACGGAUAGCCCCUUCGGCGUCCGUAGGCGUCGGGUUAUGAUGAAGGUGUUUCGUCGUUACUUCGGUGUCCGUUGGGGUGGACGGCGGAUGCCACCAUCCUGAUGAUGGCUUCCGGAGAGAGGGCGUUACAUCCUCGCUGCCGGGCGCGCGGGACCCGAGGGCGCGUGGGGCCCAAGGACAGGCGAGUCUUUCCUCCGCUCCGGUCGGCGCAGGCCAUGAGUACCCUGCGGCGAAUGGAAGGGAGCCGCCAGCACUGUAGCUUGUACAGUGUGGUCGUGCAUGGGCACUUGCAGCGGGUUGCGUGAGGAGCACGGUCAUCCUUCCCCCUGCCAGGCCUGCGGCGCAUUUAUGACGAGGCCGACGAGGGGGACCCACGGGAUCGUUGUCUUGUCCACCGGAUCCGCAUCCGAGGGGGAUGUCCGUCCUGGGGGCCCAGUGAGUCCGACUCCCGUGCUCGGGGUCGGACGAGGCGCAACCUUGUGGCGAGGGGUCGGGCGCCCCCGAUCCCGGGGUCGCGGUCGGACGAGGCGGAGCCUUGCGGAGGGAGGUCGGAUGCCCCCGACCCCGGGACCGCGGUCGGGCGAGGCGGAGCCUCGUGGCGGGAGGUUGGACGUUCUCAACCUUGGGACCUAAGGUCGGGCGAGGCGGAGCUUUGAUUAUGCUGGGUGGUCCUGGGCCUUCGUCUUUGUUCUUUUAAGCGGUAUCUAGGAGAUCGUUAAUAUUUCCCUCCAACAGUAUCCAAACACCCCCUAAGUGCCCCAAGAAGGUCAGUGCUUGGUGUUGGUCUCCAUUCACCUCCAAAGCGCUUCCGCAUACCACCAUCCUCUUAGUACUAAUGAGGCCGACCUCGUGCGCGACGUGGCAGACCGUUAUUUCAACCGGUACUAAAGGAUCUUCCUUAGUACCGAAUUGUUAGUAAUGGUUGCACAACUGGUACUAGAGGGAGGUUAUGAAUCGGUAUUUUUCCAAGUAGUGCAAGUGUUUCAGUUUUUGGGCGGUCGAGCCUCGAGGUCAGCUCAAGUGGCUUGAUUUGUUAUUGUAGAAUGCACAUGGAUAGCCGUGAUGAUAUCGUAUAUUGGGAUUUAGAACUUGAAGACAAGAUGCCUCGCUGGCAUGCUGUUAACGUGAUUCGCCCUGGUUUGGAAUUUAUUAUGACAAGCAUUUGGACCAAUGAAUACUCUAUUAAUACGAUUUUAAUGUGAUACAAAAUAUAAUUAUAAGUAUUUUGUAAUACGGGUAAUCUAAUAAAAUCAAGUUUGUGUUCAAAAAAUAUAUAUAGUCGACUUAUCGAUCGGUGUCUCCAUGUUAUCUCGUCAGCUGGCUCUGAACGUCCAAAAAGAAUGCCAAUUGGUGAGCUGCUACAUGAGCGGAAAGCAAGUCGAUUUGUCAACUUCAGAUCUAGCAGCUAAAACAAUUAUUUUAGGCGAGCGCCAUUUUGUAUUACGGCUUUCGAUGCAACCAAUAAAUUAAGCGCCCCAAGAAGGUCAGUGUUUGGCGUUGGUCUCCAUUUACCUCCAAAGCGCUUCCGCAGACCAUCCUCUUCUCCACUCCAAAGUGUCUUCUCAUUUCUCAGCGUGUGUUCCUCUGACUGCUCUGAUGGCCGAGCUUGUGGGCAGCAUGGUGGUCGGGCCACUGCUGUCCCUGGUGAAGGAGAAGGCGUCCAGCUACCUCCUGGACCAGUACAAGGUGAUGGAGGGCAUGGAGGAGCAGCAUGAGAACCUCAAGGUCAUGCUGCCGGCCAUCCUGGAAAGGAUCACUGACGCAGAGAAGCAGGCAACCUACAGACAAGCAAUCAGACCCUGGCUUCAGAAGCU
rnacentral:lncRNA from 1 species